rnacentral:misc_RNA from 1 species
AAUUUCUUCGCAUCGGUAACGCGCGCCGUCGGCCCUUGGCUGCCCGAACACAAGAUUGGCCGAGCCAAUCUGACCGCGGCCUUCCCGGAAAAAUCUCCCCCCGAAAUCGAUACGAUCUUGAUGGGUGUGUGGGAAAAUCUGGGCCGCGUUGGCGCGGAGUUCGCGCAUAUCGACCACCUCUGGGAUCUCGAUCCCGAAAGUUGGGAGAGCGGGCGCAUCGAACCCGCUCCCGGCAGCAUCGAGAAAUUUCUCGCGCUGCGCGACGACGGCAAGGGUGCGUUGAUAUUCGCCAGUCAUCUCGCAAAUUGGGAAUUGCCUGCACUCGCGGCUCCUGCCUAUGGCCUCGAGUCAGCGGUGCUGUUUCGCCGGCCCAAUAUCGCGG